AGCCUUGUAAACCUAUUGUCCGAAGAGACUUGACAACAGCCAUGUACCUGUUGUCACCUAUGCUAGUUUGUAUGCUGUGCGAAUCACCUGAAUACCAUGAUAAGAUAUUAGCAGAGGUUUUAGCUGUAAUGAGUUGUAAGCAAAAGGAUGAGGAAGACAGCAUUCAUGGUCACCAGAAAGCCAGCAAUUAGCAGUUCAGACAGUAUUUUCUGCUCUUGACUAUGUAAGCAAAUGGAGCCAAAAGCAGAGACAAGUUGAAAGUAUUGGAAAAAAGCCCCGUGUUGCUUUCGCCUUCACCUGAGCUGAGACAGGUAAAUACGUUUCUGGAAAAGAUUCCAGCAAACCUGCUAGCACAGACAUCUUUUAAGUGUAAAGCAUAUUCUCGUGCUCUUUUACACAUUGAAGCCCAUUUGAAAGAUAAUCCUGAACAGCUGAAGGAGUGUCUUCAUUUUCUCCAGUGUAUCUAUGUUUCACUGGAUGAGCCUGAUGGUGUUGCUGGUGUAGCAGCAAUUCGUCGUGAUGAUCCCUCCUUAGAGGAACAAGUUCUUGAAUAUGAAGCCACGGGUCGUUUACAAGAUGCAUUGGGUUGUUAUGAACGUAUGUGUGUCAGCCAAGUUCUGAGAAAUCUACAAGG